UGUUUUCUAGGCACUAGAAUGGUGUUUUUGGGGUGUUUUGCUUCCUAGGUUGUGUAUGGACGAAUUUUUGUGAUAAAAUGAUGAAUAUAGGGGAUUGUCCUUUGGCCAAGGAGUGUAAACAUGUAUUUAUAGGCCCCAAAAACCUUAGAAAAUCAAGUUAGGUUAAGGAUGAAAUGCAUGGCAAUUUGUGUGUGUGGUGUGCAAUGGUCCAAGGGUGAAAAUGAAG
rnacentral:lncRNA from 1 species